GAUGAACGCUGGCGGCGUGCCUAAUACAUGCAAGUCGAGCGAACGGACGAGAAGCUUGCUUCUCUGAUAUUAGCGGCGGACGGGUGAGUAACACGUGGAUAACCUACCUAUAAGACUGGGAUAACUUCGGGAAACCGUAGCUAAUACCGGAUAAUAUUUUGAACCGCAUGGUUCAAAAGUGAAAGACGGUCUUGCUGUCACUUAUAGAUGGAUCCGCGCUGCAUUAGCUAGUUGGUAAGGUAACGGCUUACCAAGGCAACGAUGCAUAGCCGACCUGAGAGGGUGAUCGGCCACACUGGAACUGAGACACGGUCCAGGCUCCUACGGGAGGCAGCAGUAGGGAAUCUUCCGCAAUGGGCGAAAGCCUGACGGAGCAACGCCGCGUGAGUGAUGAAGGUCUUCGGAUCGUAAAACUCUGUUAUUAGGGAAGAACAUAUGUGUAAGUAACUGUGCACAUCUUGACGGUACCUAAUCAGAAAGCCACGGCUAACUACGUG
rnacentral:rRNA from 1 species